AGCCUCACCCACGACCACCCGACCCACCCGCCUCCUCCUCCAACUUCCUCCUCCCCGCCGGCCGCACCCCCACCACAUCCCACUGGCCACCUAGAAGCGAUGCCCCGCCGGCCGCCCCGCGCCGCUACGGAUCCACCAACACUGGAUCGGCCGCGGCGCCCGCUCGCCUCCCCGCCGACCGGCCUCCUCUCUCCCUCCGGCCGAUGCCGCCUCCUCUCAUCCACCAAGCCCCCGGGCAGAGCCCCACCCCGCCACGGAUCGCCGGAUCCCGCCCGCCAUGCGACCAUCACGCGCUGCCCCGCGCUUGAACCCAGCGGCUUCCCCCACCAACCUUCCCCCGGCGAGGGCGGGGUGUUGCACCGACGUGGCGGCCGCCAAGGCUUCCCCUUCUCUGGAUCUGGCGGCCAUGGCGUUGGGGAUGUGUGGGAUGAGGUUUGGCAGCGCUCCUGUGUUGACGAUGAGGGUGGUGAGUGCUACUGUGCAGCUCACUACGCCCACUCAUGGAAGUAGCGGGCGAGUUGCAUCCUCAUCCUAGUGUGGGCUCAUAGAUGGCCGCCGCUUCACCUGCCCCCAUGCCGAUGAUCUCUGAGAUGGGCCGCCCCUUCCCCUUGCUGUCUCUUUCUUUGAGAGGGGAUCUAGAGCGCGGCAAGCCUGCCGAAUCGUGUCGUCUCCAGAGACACCAUGUGAAUCGCACGAGCACACACGUACAUGUAAAAGUUUUCUUGUCUACAAGGAAAUCGGCAGUACCCGGAUUUCACGUGUGACUGCAGUCCACAGUAUGGGCACCUGCAGCUCUCUCUCCCUCCCGUGGAAGUACAUCACGAGCAAAAGGUCCUGGAGCAUGCGGUUCUGUUCUGUGUCAGGGAGCCACGCCUCCAGCCGUGCUACUCACUGGGAUUUUUGCCUGAGAGGACAACGAUAGCCGCACGACAAGCUAUGAUUGUGUAGGUCUGCUGCCUCCGGCCAAGGUGUUGUGGCCACACGGUGAGGCGCGCCCGCACCUGGAGUCCACCCCCAUGCAUGCAGUUUGGUGCUCCCCUAUGUGUGGUUAAUCGGAGCACCAGUUCCACCGCCGUAGCUAUUGUUGCAGUUUUGUUGCCAUUUUUUGCAGCUCCUGUAAUUUGGACAGCGAGCCUCCCUCCGUGCGGUUUGCCGGCGCAUCUAUGCAGUACGGCGUGUGUGUCUGCAGUACUGUUAGAACCUGA